CAGUAGCCGCGGGAAUACGUAGGUGGCAAGCGUUGUCCGGAAUUAUUGGGCGCAAAGGGCUCGCAGGCGGUUUCUUAAGUCUGAUGUGAAAGCCCCCGGCUCAACCGGGGAGGGUCAUUGGAAACUGGGAAACUUGAGUGCAGAAGAGGAGAGUGGAAUUCCAUGUGUAGCGGUGAAAUGCGUAGAGAUGUGGAGGAACACCAGUGGCGAAGGCGACUCUCUGGUCUGUAACUGACGCUGAGGAGCGAAAGCGUGGGGAGCGAACAGGAUUAGAUACCCGCGUAGUCCCUGUCUCUUAUAC
rnacentral:rRNA from 1 species